rnacentral:rRNA from 1 species
AUACGUAGGGGGCGAGCGUUGUCCGGAAUGAUUGGGCGUAAAGGGCGCGUAGGCGGCCUGUUAAGUCUGGAGUGAAAGUCCUGUUUUCAAGAUGGGAAUUGCUUUGGAUACUGAUGGGCUUGAGUGCAGGAGAGGUUAUCGGAAUUCCCGGUGUAGCGGUGAAAUGCGUAGAGAUCGGGAGGAACACCAGUGGCGAAGGCGGGUAACUGGACUGCAACUGACGCUGAGGCGCGAAAGUGUGGGGAGCAAACAGGAUUAGAUACCCUGGUAGUCCACACUGUAAACGAUGAAUGCUAGGUGUAAGAGGUAUCGACCCCUUUUGUGCCGGAGUUAACACAAUAAGCAUUCCGCCUGGGGAGUACGGCCGCAAGGUUGAAACUCAAAUGAAUCGACGGGG